GGUGAACGCUGGCGGUGGGCCUAACACAUGCAAGUCGAACGGCAGCACAGUAAGAGCUUGCUCUGACGGGUGGCGAGUGGCGGACGAGUGAGGAAUACAUCGGAAUCUACUUUUUCGGGGGGGAUAACGUAGGGAAACUUACGAUAAUACCGCAUACGACCUACGGGUGAAAGCAGGGGAUCUUCGGACCUUGCGCGAUUGAAUGAGCCGAUGUCAGAUUAGCUAGUUGGCGGGGUAAAGGCCCACCAAGGCGACGAUCCGUAGCUGGUCUGAGAGGAUGGUCACCCACACUGGAACUGAGACACGGACCAGACUCCUACGGGAGGCAGCAGUGUGGAAUAUUGGACAAUGGGCGCAAGCCUGACCCAGCCAGACGGCGUGUGUGACGAAGGCCUUCGGGUUGUAAAGCCCUUUUGUUGGGAAAGAAAAGCAGCAGGUUAAUACGCCGCUGUUCUGACGGUACCCAAAGAAUAAGCACCGGCUAACUUCGUG
rnacentral:rRNA from 1 species